ACCCCCACCCCCCGAGGCAGCUUGGAGCCAAAGCAAGGCCUGGGAGCUGUGUCCUCAGCUCGGCUCCGGAACCACAGCAGAAGAGUGAUUCACUGCCUCUUGUUCCUUCUGCUCCAUCCCUCCACUCUCAUUCAUCAAGUUGUUUCUUCCACCUGAAAAUUAUAGAAUUAAGUCUGCAAAGCAUAAAGGGAAGCAUUUGCUCUCAAGAUUCUUUAUUUUUUAAAGUUUUACUGGAGUAUAGUGGAUUUAUGAUGUUGCGAUAAUUGCUGUUGUAGAAUAAAGUGAUUCAAUUAUACAUAUACACACAUGUGUUCUUUUUCAGAUUCUUUUCCCAUAUACACCAUCACAGAAUAUUGGAUAGAGUUCUCUGUGCAAUAAAGCACGUCCCUGUUGGCCAAUCAAUUCUAAAAGAGGUAAUUCAAUUCUUAGCCAUCAACACAGUAUGGAACAUUUUGCUAAAACAGUAGAGUCUAGGCUGUAAUCCCAAGGAGAAUAGCUGUCUCUGCAUGUUUCAAAGCAUCUGGUACGGUGCUUCGCAUACAGAAGAGCAAAGGGCCAGGAUUUCUAGAGUAGAGCUUUGGAAAAAUCCAUCAUGCAAGAGCCCAUUGUCACGCUACAGGAUUUAAUCUUCAUUUAAGAUCACAUGUUAUCAGAGACUGCUGAGGAGAGAAGUACACAGUACUAUGAGAAGCAAGUUGUUACUAUCCAUUUUUCUAUGGUGGAAUGUCAGAGACAGACACCUCGGUGGCUUGUCCCAAGUAACACAAUGACUUGGUAGCAUUCAGAAAGAACUCCCUUCUCAAAUCCUGCUGGUAGAGAGAACCUCGUUUUAUUUUUCUGGAACAAAGCUAAGAAAUACAUACGGUUACUGAGUUGAACAAAAUAGAAUCAUAAAUAAAUUAGUUGCAUUUUGCUGUCCCUGUCUGAGAAAAUGUGAAAAAGCAUUUUCCUUUCUAUCUGAAAGGACAUCUAAAAGGAACCAGACCACAUAAUGACACUGAGACGUCUGUACCUGAAGUAAAAUGAAUCACAGUGGAAAAGGAUGAUGUCUGCCAGGAGGCUUGGGAUAUUGUUUUCAUUAUCCAGUUAUUUUCUAUGUAAAAGCCACUCGUGUCUUAGAAUGGACCUUGUCAUCUGAAAAGCACUUCGUCUUCUUAUACUUGCAAAGAUUUAAGUGGAAAUUGUUGCUUUUGGGAAAGAGCCAUAAGGAGAGAUUUGACUGCCUUUAAAAGCCUUGAUCCAUUUGCCUCCUAAUACCAGUCUCUCUGCUGAAUUAGACACUGGAAAAGAUGAUGAUGCAGUACAGCACCAGAGUUCAAGCAAAACAGUUCUGAUGCUCUGAUUUUACAUCCUGAGGAGUGAGAAUUUGAUGGGUCCAGUUAGUCAAGGGUGCCACAGAGUAACCAGUAUGAAAACAAUAUCCUGCAUCCUACCUGCUGUGGCUUCAGAGGAUCAGAAGAUGAUGUUAUAAUUGAGUGACGUCUGCUUCACAGCAUUACCCGUAAGACGAAGCCAUUUAGCUCCACCAGAAAUAUGAAACAUGCUGAGGUGAGAAUUGAAUUCACUUUUAAUAGACACACUUGUGUUAACAGAGGCAAACUAAAUUAGAAAUAGGAGAUGUCAAUGCAAAAGAAAUUUGAUCUUGGAAUCUGGUUAUGAGUGAUGACCUACUUUGUGGGGGUUCUUCAUUUUUGAUUUCCAGAAUCCGUGUGUUUCCCUCAGCACAUGAGCCUUCCAUCUUGUAGGCCAUAUGGUGCUCUUUUGGAAUGACUUUCAUUUGAUUUUCUCCCUUAUUUAGAAAUAUUUAUUUUAUUUUUGCUCUGUCAGGAAAGGAUGAGGUCCUUGAGGAAUGGUCUUUUGUCGAAAGGCUCCUCUUGCUAGUAUUCAACUUUGGUGAUUCCACUAGGACUCUUACCAGACAAGUUUAAAAACAAAACAAAAUAAAACAAAACAAAGAACCUGGAAUAAAAAUCAAAAUCUGGAAAAAAAUCAAAAAUUAAAAAAACAAAAAAAUGGAAAAAGAAAAAACAAAAGCAAAAACAAAAAGUGUAACCCUAUUGGUGAAGUUUGGAAAAUAAAUUUAUAUAACUUAUUUAGAUGAAAUGAAUUAAAAUAAUUCACUCUUCAUUUGGGUCAGGGCAUCAAUAAUCAUGUGAAAAAUUCACAGAUUUCUUUUGUGUGGUGGUGGAAAUGGGCAAGCAGCAAGGUAUGUCAGGGAUUAGGGAUGAGAGAAUAUAAGCAUUGGGGAUGGGAGAAUAUAACCUCCUGGAAAGUUAUGGAACUGCAUCCCUCAGGGCCGCAUAAGGGUGCCUGACAGUGUCACCCAAGUCUUGAGUGGGUCAGCAGUAAAGAUGAGGGAAAAUGACAAACUGCUUUUUCCAAGGACAAAGCCAAAUGAAAGGUGGAAGUUAACUAUCUGUCAGUAUUAAAAGAUGCCAAUGGGACAGCAGGAGCGAAUCAACAUUAAUUAAGCACAAUUAAGGAGUGGAACUCACUGUACCAAAACAGAACCUGGUCCCUUCCCAGAAAGCCUGCACCUCCCCCCGUUUUCCAUCCUUCUUCCCUUUUGGAUGCAACACUCCGUUGAUGGCAAGGCUGGGCAGAAACUUGCCGCUCUGUUUCAUUCUGUCAGGAUGCCUCCACUUCUGUGUCACCUGUUAUAUUUGCUUAGGACAUUGCCACUGUUGCAUCUGCCGCAGAAAUUCACACUUGGUGAAACUUCUGCUUGGGAAAUAGUUUGUCAGUAGAAGUGAAGACAUAAUCAUUAUCUAUGGGUGACACCUUUGCUCAUGCUUAGUAUUUCAGGUUAGUGGGAGACCAUUCCCAGUUGAUGUUUUGGUAUCACCUGCACAGAGCCAGACAGCCUUUAAGCCAGUUUCAACAUGCUGUUUCACUCAAAGAAAUACAAGUCUGGAAUCUAGAAUAAUUGAAAAGCAAUAUAAAUCUCUACUGCAAUGGCUGAAUCCAGUCUAUCUCUCUCCUUAAUGGACAAAUUUCUUGAAAGAAUGAUGCCAUUCAAUACUUAUUAUUUCUUCUUUCUCACCUCUAAUUUGUUAUUUAGUCCCACGUCACCAUGCCUCUGCUACACUAGGUAAUCCUCCAAGUCACCAAGCAUUUUCUAAGUAACAAAUACAUUAACCCUUCUUGCUCCUUUCUCUUACUUGACUUCUCUAUGUCAUGAAUCAUUGAUUUUGUCUCCUAGGUCCUUUCCUGUCUCACUGUACCUGGUCUCCCUGCGUGAUGGCAUUAGGGUGAUAUCAUGACCCAGAUGACAUCCAGGGUUGUGGUUCUUUCAAGGUCCCCAGUCAGAUCUCAACACUCCAUUGAGUCUCUAUCUCUCUGAGAGGGUGUCACACAAGUAUCUUAGAUUCAAAAUGUCCAAAAGGACCAGUCAGUCACCUCUCCUUUUGAAUCUUUUCUUUCAUCUUGGUUUUCCAUAUUGAUGACUAAUAAUGCCAUUAUCCCACAUUCUAAACUAGAAAAGCCAUUCUACUUUCUUUUGCUUCCUAUUCCUAAUUAUUUGUCAAAUGUAUGUUGUUUCUGACAAACAAACAAAAAAAAAAACCCUGUAUAACAUGUUCUGUAGCUUUUCCUUUUAAAUUCAAUUGUUCUUAGUAUGAAACAAUAGUUGUCUGCCUCUUUCAAUUCUCAGCAAGUUCUCAACAGCUACAGUAGGUGGGACUCUUAAUGGCUAUAUUUCUGCUAGCCAAACCCAUCUACAGAUUAUGAAGUAUUGAUCCAAGCUGGACCAAUCAGAUAUUUUCCUCUAGAAAUCUGAGUUGUCUGUUCUUGAAUAGAGGGACAGAGUGACCAAGAGAUGGUAGAACUGAUGUAUGUUAAUGACAUUAAAUAGACUGCCCUCGACUCCUGCAGCUCCCCUGGAUCUGUCCAUACCUUAGUUGUUUAAUAAUUUCUUCAAUGACAUGAGAUAAGACAAAAUUUUGCAAUAAACACAUUUUUUUUGGUUAAUGUUGGCCAAUUUGUUCAUAUUGCUGGAAACCAUGACAUUCUUAAACUAUGCCCUGAGUUCUCUACCCAAUGGAGUUGUCUUUCAGAAAUACAAGGCUGGUCUUAUUUCUCUUCUUAAUUAUUUCAGAGAAAAGACAACCUACAGAUCAGAAGAAAACAUUUGUAAAUGAUGUUACCAAUAAGGGCUUAAUUUCUGAAUUAUACAAACAGCUCAUACAGCUUAAUGUAAAAACAAAAAACAAAAAAAAAAACACAACCUAAUCCAAAAAUGAGCAUAAGAACUAAACAUUUUUCUAAAGCAGAUAUAGAAAUGGCCAAUAGGCACAUGACAAGAUGCACAGUAUCACUAAUUAUUAGAGAAGUGCAGAUAAAAACUACAAUUCCACCUCAUACUGGUCAGA